UACGGAGGGUGCGAGCGUUAAUCGGAAUUACCGGGCGGAAAUCGUGCGUAGGCGGCUUGAUAAGCCGGUUGUGAAAGCCCCGGGCUCAACCUGGGAACGGCAUCCGGAACUGUCAGGCUAGAGUGCAGGAGAGGAAGGUAGAAUUCCCGGUGUAGCGGUGGAAUGCGCAGAUAUCGGGAGGAACACCAGUAGCGAAGGCGGUCUUCUGGACUGACACUGACGCUGAGGUGCGAAAGCCUGGGUAGCAAACAGG
rnacentral:misc_RNA from 1 species